rnacentral:rRNA from 1 species
CCUACGGGAGGCAGCAGUGAGGAAUAUUGGUCAAUGGGCGCGAGCCUGAACCAGCCGAGUCGCGUGAGGGAAGACGGUCCUAUGGAUUGUAAACCUCUUUUGUCGGGGAGCAAAAGACGCCACGCGUGGCGUUCCGAGAGUACCCGAAGAAAAAGCAUCGGCUAACUCCGUGCCAGCAGCCGCGGUAAUCCGGAGGAUGCGAGCGUUAUCCGGAUUUAUUGGGUUUAAAGGGUGCGCAGGCGGAAGGUCAAGUCAGCGGUAAAAUUGAGAGGCUCAACCUCUUCGAGCCGUUGAAACUGGUUGUCUUGAGUGAGCGAGAAGUAUGCGGAAUGCGUGGUGUAGCGGUGAAAUGCAUAGAUAUCACGCAGAACUCCGAUUGCGAAGGCAGCAUACCGGCGCUCAACUGACGCUCAUGCACGAAAGUGUGGGUAUCGAACAGGAUUAGAUACCCCUGUAGUC